AUCGUGACGAUUAUUUUUAAUUAGCCAAGAAAGGUGGAUAUCGUUAUCGAGAUUAAAAUACGAUUAAUCGUGCAGACCUAGACUUAAGAUGUCAGUUAACACAUUAUCAUUAUUAUUAUUUCUACUCCCGAAGAGUCCAACAGUUCAGAGUGCGGUAGACUCUAAAGGCUGUUAAUCCGCUUGGGAAUUUUCUUCGUGGACUUCAGCUGAAUGUUGUUCCAAGGGUUCCAUACUCUGUUCCAGGUCCUCUCUCCCUGUGGCACAUAGAUGUUAACCAUACACUGAUACGCUGGAGUAUAGUUAUACAUGGAGGGAUUGAUGGGUUCAGUCUGUGCAUUAUGUUUCUUUGUGCAAACACAAACAAUCGGGCAUCAACUGUUCUCCAGUGUUUUCUCACUGCUGUUAAUCAGUAUGGUUUACCCCACCGUGUUAGAAGUGACAAGGGAAGAUAAAAUGUUGAGGUUGCCAAAUACUUUGGAACAUCCUGAACGGGGCCCAGAGAGAAGAUGCCACAUCACUGGAAAGAGUGUCCACAACCAGAGAAUAGAAAGGCUGUGGCGUGACGUCUGUUGUAGUGUAGUUAGCAACUACUACACCACCUUUAGGUAACUCGAAAACAAUGGGCUGCUCGAACCUGAUCAAGAUCUCCACAUCAUAUGCCUCCAUUUUGUCUUCCUGUCAAGACUGAAUUGGCAUCUAAAGGAGUUCAUCCAGAUGUGGGACAGGCAUCCACUUUCCACAGAGGGAAACAGGUCCCCAGAGCAGUUGUGGAUUGCUGGUCUGCUUUUGGGGAAACAAGACAAUCCUGACCAGGUGGCCCUGUUGUCCUCUUUGCAGCUAAAUUGUCAACAAGGCUACUUAACUCAGUCCUUUGUACAAUAUCUGCUUCAUUUUUCAACAGAUUGAUACUCAGAGUCUGUUGAGGUCCCAGCAGCUCCCAAGGAUUUGCAUCAGAGAGUAGAGGAGCAUUUGAGGGCAAACAUUGAUCCUUUUAUGACCAGUGAGACCUUUUGGGGUGGACAUUUAUCUACAAGCCAUGUCAUUGGCCAAAGCCUUUAAGGCUACACAACCGUAAACCACAACUCCUCCACCCUCAUCCCACGAAAUAAGGCUUUGGUAAGAAAAUACGCUGCAAUUGCUUAUAACGUUUUUUUUCACUGCUUUCCUAUAACUCGUGUUCUUGGUGUCACUUCCACUUCAUGUAACCGCAGUCUGCAAGGAUAACAAGAGCAUAAAGGUCCGUUCACACCAAGAAUGAAAACUAUAACUAUUACUUUUUAAGAAUGGUUUCCAAUUUAAAGGGGACAUCAGAUGCCCCAUUUUCCAUAGGUUGUUACAAUUUUUAGGGUUUUCAUGAAAUGUCUGCAAAAUAAUCCAAUUCCUCUCUGGUCAUGUAACAGCAUCUUAUCAAAACAAGCUCUGUUCAUGGCGACUUGGUUCAGUGUCUCUUUAAAUCAGGGUGGUGAAUGUCAUUCCUGGAGAGCAUAGCCGUGCAGAGAUUUGCAACCCUAAUCAAACACACCUGAACAGGCUAAUCAAGGUCCGAAGGAUUAAUAGGAAACUACAGGCAGUUGAGUUUUUAUUGGGGUUGGAGCUGAACUCUGCAGGACUGCGGCUCUCCAGGACAGGAGUUUGUCACCCCUGCUUUAAAUGAUAAAAAGCUACUGCUCACCUGUCCCCUCUUUUCCAUGGGUCGUGUUGCGUGACUUGCCGUGGACUCCAUGUGUGGUUAUCUUAUUCAUAUAGGUAGCUAUCUACGUAGAGCCUGGCUGCAAAUUAAAAUGGCUUGCUAUAUGAGACAUUUUCAUACUAAAGACAACUUGUAAUAAACUGGCUGCAUGAUUGUUUUUUUAAGAA